GAUUCUGGCUCAGGAUGAACGCUGGCGGCGUGCCUAACACAUGCAAGUCGAACGAGAGAGGAAGGUGCUUGCACCAUCCAAUCGAGUGGCGGACGGGUGAGUAACGCGUGGGUAACCUGCCUCAUACAGGGGGAUAACAACUGGAAACGGUUGAUAAUACCGCAUAAGCGCACAGCAUCGCAUGAUGCAGUGUGAAAAACUCCGGUGGUAUGAGAUGGACCCGCGUCUGAUUAGCCAGUUGGCGGGGUAACGGCCCACCAAAGCGACGAUCAGUAGCCGGCCUGAGAGGGUGAACGGCCACAUUGGGACUGAGACACGGCCCAAACUCCUACGGGAGGCAGCAGUGGGGAAUAUUGCACAAUGGGGGAAACCCUGAUGCAGCCGACGCCGCGUGAGCGAAGAAGUAUUUCGGUAUGUAAAGCUCUAUCAGCAGGGAAGAAAAUGACGGUACCUGACUAAGAAGCCCCGGCUAACUACGUGCCAGCAGCAGC
rnacentral:rRNA from 1 species